AACCUCCGCAAUGUGAGAAAUCGCGACGGGGGGAUCCCAAGUGCCAUUCUUAACGGGAUGGCUUUUCAUUAGUGUAAAGAGCUUUUGGAAUAAGAGCUGGGCAAGACCGGUGCCAGCCGCCGCGGUAACACCGGCAGCUCUAGUGGUAGCAAUUUUUAUUGGGCCUAAAGCGUCCGUAGUCGGUUUAAUAAGUCUCUGGUGAAAUCCUGCAGCUUAACUGUGGGAAUUGCUGGAGAUACUAUUAGACUUGAGAUCGGGAGAGGUUAGAGGUACUCCCAGGGUAGAGGUGAAAUUCUGUAAUCCUGGGAGGACCGCCUGUUGCGAAGGCGUCUAACUGGAACGGUUCUGACGGUGAGGGACGAAAGUUAGGGGCGCGAACCGGAUUAGAUACCCGGGUAGUCCUAACUGUAAACGAUGCGGACUUGGUGUUGGGGUGGCUUUGAGCUGCUCCAGUGCCGAAGGGAAGCUGUUAAGUCCGCCGCCUGGGAAGUACGGUCGCAAGACUGAAACUUAAAGGAAUU
rnacentral:rRNA from 1 species